GACGAACGCUGGCGGCGUGCUUAACACAUGCAAGUCGAACGGGUCUGCCCUGUUUUUUGCGGGGUGGGUCAGUGGCGAACGGGUGAGUAACACGUGAGUAACCUGCCCCUCACUUCUGGAUAACCGCUUGAAAGGGUGGCUAAUACGGGGUGUUCUGGCUGUGCCGCAUGGUGUGGCUGGGAAAGAUUCACUUUUGUGGUGUUUUGGUGGGGGAUGGGCUCGCGGCCUAUCAGCUUGGUGGUGGGGUGAUGGCCUGCCAAGGCUUUGACGGGUAGCCGGCCUGGGAGGGUGGGCGGGCACACUGGGACGGAGAUACGGCCCAGACUCCUGCGGGAGGCAGCAGUGGGGGGUAUUGCACAAUGGGCGGAAGCCUGAUGCAGCGACGUCGCGUGAGGGAUGGAGGCCUUCGGGUUGUGAACCUCUUUCGCCGGUGAAGAAGGUCCUGCUCUUUGUGGUGGGGUUGACGGUAGCCGGGUUAUGAAGCGCCGGCUAACUACGUG
rnacentral:rRNA from 1 species